rnacentral:rRNA from 1 species
GACGAACGCUGGCGGCGUGCUUAACACAUGCAAGUCGAACGGCAAGGCCCUGCUUUCGUGGGGUGCUCGAGUGGCGAACGGGUGAGUAACACGUGAGUAACCUGCCCUUGAUUUUGGGAUAACUUCAGGAAACUGGGGCUAAUCCCGGAUAGGAGACCCCGCUGCAUGGUGGGGGUUGGAAAGUUUCGGCGGGUGGGGAUGGACUCGCGGCUUAUGAGCUUGUUGGUGGGGUAGUGGCUUACCAAGGGUUUGAAGGGUAGCCGGCCUGAGAGGGUGACCGGCGACAAGGGGACUGAGGGACGGCGCAGAGUGCUACGGGAGGCAGCAGUGGGGAAUAUGGCACAAUGGGCGGAAGUCUGAGACGGCAACGCCGCGUGCGGGAUGACGGCCUGCUGGUUGUAAACCGCUUUCGCCUGUGACGAAGCGGGAGUGACGGUAAUGGGUAAAGAAGCACCGGCUAACUACGUG